CAGAUGCUUUGCAGGACAACAGAAGUGGGAUCAUGGGGACCUCUCUGUGGGUUCACCCGGUCCUGUUGUGCUUGACCCCGGCCCUGAGUCAGUCACCACUCCCCAUGGCCUUCAUGCCUUACCUGGACAGUGAGAGGAUCAGAUGAGCGAAGAGGUUCCACAGUCUGAGUGCUCGGGAGAAUGACCUGGGAGUCUUUUAAAAAUUCAGUUUCCUUGGCUUCUUAUCCUGAAAAUUCAGUCAGUAGACAAGGAGCACAACCCAGGAAUCUGUAUUUGUCACAAUCAGCUGUAGUGAUUUUGAUGAGCCCAAGUAUUCUCUAGGGUCCUACCAGCCUGGCACUCGGGCACCCUCUUGCUCCAUGGGUGAAAGCUCGAGAGAUAAUAGAGAGAUAAUAGGCUGGAACAGAAUUUCAGUGGAAGGGUGGGGAGGGAGGCAGAGCUUCUCAGGCACAGGGAUGUGCAGCUGGGAGAGGUGCAAUGACCGAACCUUUUUUACCUAUUCUCUGAGUCCUUGUUGGUUUUUAUUGCUAACGUCAUAUGAGAUUGUUACAUUGUCUUGGCUGUGCCUGUGUGUCACAUAUUAUGCUUUCUCACCUAACCCCAGUAAAAUCCCACCUUCAUUGAUCAAAACAGGUUGUUAUCAUAUGGACGCUCAAAAUAUUUUUAUGCACCUUCUCAGUCUGCAGAGAAUUCCACUGCAAACAGCUUAUAAGGUCCAUGUGUUUGGCUGUAGGUUCUUCCUCAAACUGGCUGCUUCGUAGACAAGCAGGUGCCUCGGGGACUGUGUCUUCACAUAAGUCAUGGUCUGUUUUCCAUGGGGAGGCUGCAAGAGCUAGGGGGACAGAGGUGACAAUGCAGAAGAUGGAACAAAGUAACAGCACAAUGGGAGCAUGCAGAGGCCCGGGGAUAGGUCUGGGUGUUAGGAGGACAACCUGGCCCCACUGGCACUCUGAAGGACUGCGUUCCCCAUUGCAUGAGGGAAGAAACUGAGGGUGGAGAGGCUCCAGGACAGAGCAGGAUGGUGCUGGUGUUGAACUCUGAGACGACGUGACUACAAUGCCUGUGCCCUUUGCUGGGAGGCUAAUCAGAAUCCAGGAACGAGAGGCUGGGCAGAAACCAGGCCAGGGUGCAUCCCCCACGGCAGGCUGGAGUUGCUGAUGGGAGGAGAGGACUCCAUGGCAGGUGAGAAAAUACCACCCAGGACCUGACUGAGACCCCAUCCGGCAUCAGUCCACGUGAACCCAGUGUCUGCAGGGAAAUUUUACAGUCAAAACCUGUGCAGUCUGCUAUGAACCAAGGAAUAAGGAGGCUGCUGGAAAAGCCAUCAUUUUGCUGGGCUAUUGAUGUUGGUGAGAGUUGAUCACAGUUUGAAAGGUGCAGAAGGCCAUGCCUGGCAAAGAGACAGAUGGGAGACCUCUCUGGUUGGGGCGAGAAUGCUGUGUGGGAUGGCUCAGGGGUGGAGGUAGCGAGCCUGUGCUUGAGCGGGGCCAACCGAGAGUCAAAUCCCGGGCUGCCGCGUGUCGAGUGCGGUGGCCAUGGGUCCAUCCAUGACUUCUCUGAGUCCCUAGUCCCCUACCCGUAAAAACGGAAGCAAUAACACAGACUUCUUAGGUUGUUUUUUUGAGACCUGAGAUAGACCACAUGUGUAAGGCAUUCAGCACAGUGCUUGACUUGUGUAGGGCUCCCAAAGCUGAGCUAUAAUUGGGUAAUUGCUGAUGGUGCUCAGAUUCCAAGGUGAAAGGAGAAGAGACACAGGGAUGCUGAGGGGGAGUUGAGGAGAGGUUGCUGCACAGUCCAAGAGGACCAUAAACAACAUCACAGAGGAGGCACAUGAGGGCUGCCUCACACUCAGCAGAAAGGCCAGAGUGAGGGCGUGCAGCUGGCUCGCAGAGGUGGGCUUUCAAAUCCCAGAGGAAUGGGCUGACUGCACUGCCCAGGCUGUGGUUGCUCCACACUGAGGACUUGGGAUACCCACCUGCCUCAGCUUCUUGGAUGAUCUCCAGAAUGCCAGGCAGCCAGACGUGAGGUCAUGCAUUUACUGUAGGGAGCUGUGCAGCUGGGUGAGGGGAGGGGGCUACCAGGCAGAGGCUCUGCCUGCCUCAAAGUGCUCCAGAGGGGCUGGGUGGGCCCCAAAGUGUUCAGAGGGACUUGAUCAGAGGCCCUCAAGCAAAGCAUGCCUUAGGUGUAGGGUCAGGGGAAAGGGCCCAGCCUCUCUGCCCUCCCAUCUCCAGCCCUGCUUCCAUCUCAUGGGCCUGGGCCACGUGGCCCUUCUAAAUGAAGCUCCUGAGCUAGGUGGAUGUUGGUGCAGACACAACCGACCGGUCUGCCAUGCAUGUGUGAGAACACAGGCUGCUCCAGCGGCCUUGCAGACACCCACCCAGCACCUCAGGCAAUGGAAACCCCCCAGGAAAUGGCCUUGUGUGGGAAGGAGGGCACGCCCCCAACCCUGGACACAACCUCCAGGGUUGAGAGGAGAGGCGGGACCAGGGAAAGGCUGCCCCAGCAGAUUAGGCUUUGAGACAAGGUAAAUGAAGUCAGGGUCACAGAAGGGCUUCUCACCCAACCCUCUCACUUCACAAGUGGGGAAACCGGCCCAGAGAGGGCAAGUAAACAAACAGCGUAAGGAGUUUGUGGUUGUGGAAGGUUGUGAAAUGGCCCCUCAAAAGAUAUUCCCAUUCUAAUACCUGGAACUUGUCAGUGUUACCUUACAUGAGGGGAAAACAGGAGUUUUUGGCAAUGUGAGCAGAUGAAGAAUCUUGUGAUGGGAAGAUUAUCCUGCGGUAUCUAGGUGGGCUGUAAAUACAGUCACAUGCAUCGUUAUAAUCAGACGACAAAGAGAGAUCUGAAAACACACAGAGGAGGCCCCAGUGUGGAGACCAGUAGAGGGAGGCUUGAGAACACGGGCCUUGAACAUCGGAGUUGGUGUGGCCAUAGCCACCGGACCCUGGAAGAGGCGCGUAACAGAUUCUCCCCGCCAGCCCCUGAGUGAGUGCAGCUCUGCCAACUCUUGAUGUUGGCCCAGGGAAACUGUUUUCAGACUUCUGGCCCCCACAACUGCGAGAGAAUAAAUUACGUUGUUUUAAGCUACUAAGGUUUUAGUAAUUUAUUACGGCAGCCACAGGAAACUAAUACAGUGUUUUCCCUGGGCCCGGCCCGGCCUUGGAACUGUGUCGUCCUAUCGGUACCCUGGACCCAUAAGAGGGAGGGAUGGCAGGGGCAGAGAAGGCAGGGACUCCAUUUUCCAUCACAAGCUGUCUCCACCAGCCUCGCUGAGGGAUGGUGAUGGAGAUGUACCAUGUC
rnacentral:lncRNA from 1 species